rnacentral:rRNA from 1 species
GUGGGGAAUAUUGCGCAAUGGGCGAAAGCCUGACGCAGCGACGCCGCGUGAGGGAUGAAGGUUUUCGGAUCGUAAACCUCUGUCAGAAGGGAAGAAACUACAUUGUGCUAAUCAGCAGUGUACUGACGGUACCUUCAAAGGAAGCACCGGCUAACUCCGUGCCAGCAGCCGCGGUAAUACGGAAGGUGCAAGCGUUAAUCGGAAUUACUGGGCGUAAAGCGCACGUAGGCUGUAGUGUAAGUCAGGGGUGAAAUCCCACGGCUCAACCGUGGAACUGCCUUUGAUACUGCACAACUUGAAUCCGGGAGAGGGUGGCGGAAUUCCAGGUGUAGGAGUGAAAUCCGUAGAUAUCUGGAGGAACAUCAGUGGCGAAGGCGGCCACCUGGACCGGUAUUGACGCUGAGGUGCGAAAGCGUGGGGAGCAAACAGGAUUAGAAACCCGGGUAGUCC